UUACCCAAACAAACAAGUUUGCACUAGUGUCUCAGCCUCAUCUCCUGCAACUAUCUCAUCUCAUCUCACGGACGUGUCCCAUCUCUUGCUUGAAGAAAUGUCUUUCAGUCAGAAAUGUUCCAUCCCAGACGUGCAGUCCGCAGUCAAUGAAGGAGCAAAACAGGCGGAGGGUGCUACUACUGAGUUUGCACAGAAAGCCCAGGAUACCGUGAAUGCAGUUGUGGACAAAGGCGUCUCGUUGGCGGAGCAGAAAGGAAAGCAAGUAGCUCAAGAUGUUGGCUCAAAACUAUCCAGUGCCAAGUUACCCUUUUAGCAAUGCUCAACAGCAUCAAGUGAUUGACAACCUUUGCUAUGUUUUACUGUCUCUUUAAUUUACAAAGGAAUUGCUGUAAUCAAUAAUUCAUAACCAAUUAAUCAAUAAAACGACCCCUCCCCCCA